rnacentral:lncRNA from 1 species
UCACGUUCGGCGCUCGAUCGCGCUGUAUGAGACAGGAAAACAUAGCAUGCAGACAUUAGCGACAGCUCUUACAGGCGGAAAAGGCUUGCCAAAAGAAAAAAAAAAAACACACCACAACAUCUCUCCUAUUGGUGGAAAACUUCACCACAACAACCAAUCCAAAAUUAUAUGGUGACUGAUUGACAAGGGGCGGGCGCUUACGUUCAUCCUGCAACAUGAGAAGCGAGGGAGGGACUCUCAGCAGGGAUGCAGUCUGGGACACGUAGUUGCAAACCUAGCGACUUUGUUGUUAGAUUCAAUGACUUUUCAGACCCCCCUUACGACUUUUUUUUUAGAAAGAAAGGGAAUUUUAUCGACUUCUUCUGGAGUUUAGAGACUCUGAAAUGAAGCAGGCUUUCCUUACUGAGGAGUUGGCAACGCUGCUAAGGGUGCAGAGCCACACAUGCGCUCCGAGCUCUGCAUGGGAGACUGAAGCUGACAGAGCUGCAGCAGUUAGCAGGUUUCACCCUCAGAGACCACCAGGGGUUCAUGUUGAGGCAUUUUCAGUUUUUUUUUUUUUUUUUGUGCCAUAGACACUGUCAGCACAAUCUGCAGCUACACUAACAAAAAUGCUGCAAAAAACAAAGAAUUAUGGAAAAAUUACACAUGGACUGACAUAGAGGAGGAUCUACACAAGUUUUUUACAUCAUGUUUUACAUCAUGCAUCAUUUACAUCAUGUUUUUUUGUAGUGGCAUAAAUAAAAAGUGACAUUUGUGAGACUAUACAGUGUUUUGUAAAUAAUUUUACAAAGAACGCCUGGGCCAUUGCCUGCAUUUUGAUGUAAAUAGAGGUAAAUCACUAUGUUCUUUGUUAAAAAUUUGCAUAUGUUUUGAAGUUUACAAUUUUUAUUUGAAGUUUAAGUUUUAAAAACAGUUCAUCACACAUAUUUGUGGUUUUCACAGUAAAAAUGUUACUUUUUUCCACUCGGAUUUUAUGUUUUGUGUGUGAAUUUGGGUCCAUUGUGUAAAUUCAGUAUGUCAACAUGAUAAAAUAACUGUAAAUUCGCACAGGUGAGGUUGUGCUGAAAAAAAUGAUACCAGGCAAGGCACGUGAUUGUCAAAUUUUGUGUCAAUAUGACAAAGCGUAUAGGCGUGAAUCUCAACAAUAUGUAUUUUCACCUUAGGGGAAAAGAAAAAAUGGACUUUUUUCUCCUGCCAUGGGGGGGCGCUCUUUUGGGGAGUAAAAAUUCCUUCACAAAUGUGUUGAUGGCUGGACAUUGCAUCAUCCUAGAAAACUUGGAGGCCAGUGAGGACAAAAAUAAAAAGUUAUAAGACUUUUAAAUAUGUGGAUUUUAGGGUUAUCUUUGGCGCCCCCUAGAACCUAAACCGUGGGGUGCAGCGUCAUGAUUUAAAUAACUUUUAAUGGCCAUGGGGUGUAGAUUGGCCUGAGCAAAUGUGGUGCCGGUGGAACGAAAGCCUUAGGAGGAGUUAGCCACAUUCCAAUGUGUGCGGAUCGGCAAAAAAUGCGGAAUAACCCUUUAACCGUACAUUUGACAGAUACGCGCGCGUUGACUUUUUCGUAGAUCUUAUUGAGUUACAUGUGUGUGUCAAUUUUUGUGUCAUUUUGACAAAGCGUAUAGGCGUGACACUCAACAAUGUGUAUUUUCACCUUAGGGGACAAGAAAAAAUGGACUUUUUUCUCCUGCCAUGGGGGGGGCGCUCUUUUGGGGAGUAAAAAUUCCUUCACAAAUGUGUUGAUGGCUGGACAUUGCAUCAUCCUAGAAAACUUGGAGGCCAGGGAGGACAAAAAUAAAAAGUUAUAAGACUUUUAAAUAUGUGGAUUUUAGUGUUAUCUUUGGCGCCCCCUAGAACCUAAACCUUGGGGUGCAGCGUCAUGAUUUUGAUAACUUUUAAUGGCCAAGGGGUGUAGAUUGGCCUGAGCAAAUGUGGUGCCGGUGGAACGAAAGCCUUCGGAGGAGUUAGCGAAAUUCCAAUGUGUGCGGAUCGGCAAAAAAUGCGAAAUAACCCUUCAACCGUAAUUUUGACAGAUACGGCCGCACUGACUUUUUUGUAGAUCUUAUUGAGAUAGAUAUGUGUGUCAAUUUUUGUGUCAAUAUGACAAAGCGUACAGGCGUGACAGUCAAUAGUGUGAAUUUCCACCUUAGGGGGCGCUAUGGAGCCAUUUUACAUUUUAUUGUUUGGGCGACUUCAGAAUAUCGAAUUUUUCACCAGGCCCGGUCGUCCUGCCAAAUUUUAUGAGUUUUCGCCAGUGGGAAGUGGGCCAUUUUCCAGUUCAAAGGGGAGGAAAAAGAAGAAAGAAAGAAAGAACUAGGGCCCCGUUGGGGCACUGGCGGGCCCGAGCCGUGUCACGCCGCCCCCAGCGCGACCGCCUCCCCCACCCGAUCGCGUCACACUCAAGGUCCAAAGAUGGUGUGCGCACUUGUUUGUGGUCAUUUACCAUUAUAAUGAACGGGAGGCGCAGUUUCUACCAAAACGCUCGCUGCAGAAAAACUCCAUGUCCUAUUUGAAAAAAGUCUGGACCAUGAGUGAGGGCACAAACACAGCUAAGAUAUAUCCAAAUGGCAAGUUGCUCCUCCUUUCGCUUUUGCCGAAAGAGCAGUGCGUUUGAGCCAUUGAAUGAUGAACAGGAAAAACUUGACUUUAUUCUCCUGGCCAUGGGGGGGCGCUCUUUUAAAGAGAAAAAACUCCUUCACAAAUGUGUUGAUGGCUGGACAUUGCAUCAUCCUAGAAAACAUGGAGGCCAGUGAGGACAAAAAUAAAAAGUUAUAAGACUUUUAAAUAUGUGGAUUUUAGGGUUAUAUUUGGCGCCCCCUAGAACCUAAACCGUGGGGUGCAGCGUCAUGAUUUGAAUAACUUUUAAUGGCCAUGGGGUGUAGAUUGGCCUGAGCAAAUGUGGUGCCGGUGGAACGAAAGCCUUCGGAGGAAUUAGCGAAAUUCCAAUGUGUGCGAAUCUGCAAAAAAUGCGAAAUAACCCUUUAACCGUACAUUUUACAGAUACGUGGCCAUUGACUUUUUCGAAGAUCUUAUUGAAAUACACGUGUAUGUAAAAUUUUGUGUCAAUACGACAAAACAUAAAGGCGUAGCACUCAACAAUGUGUAUUUUCACCUUAGUGGACAAGAAAAAAUUGACUUUUUUCUCCUGCCAUGGGGGGGCGCUCUUUUGCCGAGUAAAAAUUCCUUCACAAAUGUGUUGAUGGCUGGACAUUGCAUCAUCCUAGAAAACUUGGAGGCCAGUGAGGGCAAAAAUAAAAAGUUAUAAGACUUUUAAAUAUGUGGAUCUUAGGGUUAUCUUUGGCUCCCCCUAGAACCUAAACCGUGGGGUGCAGCGUCAUGAUUUGAAUAACUUUUAAUGGCCAUGGGGUGUAGAUUGGCCUGAGCAAAUGUGGUGCCGGUGGAACGAAAGCCUUCGGAGGAGUUAGCGAAAUUCCAAUGUGUGCGGAUCGGCAAAAAAUGCGGAAUAACCCUUUAACCGUACAUUUGACAGAUACGCGCGCAUUGACUUUUUCGUAGAUCUUAUUGAGAUACAUGUGUGUGUCAAUUUUUGUGUCAUUUUGCCAAAGCGUACAGGUGUUACACUCAACAAUGUGUAUUUUCACCUUAGGGGACAAGAAAAAAUGGACUUUUUUCUCCUGCCAUGGGGGGGCGCUCUUUUGGGGAGUAAAAAUUCCUUCACAAAUGUGUUGAUGGCUGGACAUUGCAUCAUCCUAGAAAACUUGGAGGCCAGUGAGGGCAAAAAUAAAAAGUUAUAAGACUUUUAAAUAUGUGGAUCUUAGGGUUAUCUUUGGCGCCCCCUAGAACCUAAACCGUGGGGUGCAGCGUCAUGAUUUGAAUAACUUUUAAUGGCCAUGGGGUGUAGAUUGGCCUGAGCAAAUGUGGUGCCGGUGGAACGAAAGCCUUCGGAGGAGUUAGCGAAAUUCCAAUGUGUGCGGAUCGGCAAAAAAUGCCAAAUAACCCUUUAACCGUACAUUUGACAGAUACGCCCGCACUGACUUUUUUGUAGAUCUUAUUGAGAUACAUGUGUGUGUCAAUUUUUGUGUCAUUUUGACAAAGCGUACAGGCGUGACAGUGAAUAGUGUGAAUUUUCACCUUAGGGGGCGCUAUGGAGCCAUUUUGCAUUUUCUUGUUUGGGCGACUUCGGAAUAUCAAAUUUUUCACCAGGCCCGGUCGUCCUGCCAAAUUUCAUGAGUUUUCGCCAGUGGGAAGUGGGCCAUUUUCCAGUUCAAAGGGGAGGAAAAAUAAUAAUAAUAAUAACAAAAGAAGGAAACUACAGGAACAAGAGGGCUCUCGCAGCUGCUUAGCAGCUACGCUCGGGCCCUAACUAGGGCCCCGUUGGGGCACUGGCGGGCCCGAGCCGCGUCGCGCCGCCCCCAGCGCGACCGCCUCCCCGUCCCAUUCGUGCCCUCUGGCCAUCGCCCUCUCUGGUGACGCCCAUCACUGCAAAGACCCUUUUCCUUCAUCUGUGUUUGCUGUUCUUCCUGCCAUUGCGUGUUGCUUUCACUUACACUUGCCACAGCCAGCCUCGUGAGUGCCUGGCCUGGUUUGACCUUUGCUCACCAUGAUUGUGUGACCUUGGUAUCAGCUACUUGGGAAGUUCAACCGUUGUGGCAAAGCUUUGUUUGCGUGCUGUGCUCAACCACCUAUUUUCUAUGGAUGUGUAAGUAAACCACUUUCUUUCUUACACAAUGACACACUCAUACUUAUCACUCACUGCUACUGAUGUGCUCUGUUAGUAUGCAUGCAGGAAACCUGAUGAAUGAAGAAAUGCCCAGACUAGCCAACAUCUCAAUAAAUUAUGAGGUAUGACAUCACUUGAAUGGUUUCCUUGGACUAUGCUUCCAUUAUUCUAAUUCUGUAAUAAAAAGAAAUUUUGUCCAAAAGGACUGUUGUUGUUUUUUCUUCUAAUAAUUAACAUAUUUAACAUAAUUAACAUUCAAUAUGCGCUCAUUACACACGUGCACACUCUUUGAUGAUCUGAGAAGCAGAGCUUAAAGGACAGUAGGAGUAGCUGAACAAAGUGUAUUUGUAGGAAAGCCGUAAGAGCUAUUGAAACGCCGUUUUCGCGGGUUGAAAGGUUAGGGUGUCCACCAAAGGUCAGAGGUCAAAUAACAUUUGUAUCUCAAACUGUGACGUCAAAGUCAAGGUCCAAAGAUGGUGUGCGCACCUGUCUUUGGUCAUUUCCCAUUAUAAUGAAUGGGAGGCACAGUUUCUACCAAAACGCUCGCUGCAGACAAACUACAUGUCCUAUUUGAAAAAACUCUGGACCAUGAGUGAGGGCACAAACACAGCUAGGACAUAUCCAAAUGGCAAGUUGCUCCUCCUUUUGGUUUUAGCGGGAGAGCAAUGCGUUUGAGCCAUUAAGCGAUGGGCUGGAAAAACUUGACUUUUUCUCCUGCCAUGGGGGGGGGGGGGGCGCUCUUUUGGGGAGAAAAAAUUCCUUCACAGAUGUGUUGAUGGCUGCACAUUGCAUCAUCCUAGAAAACUUGGAGGCCAGUGAGGACAAAAAUAAAAAGUUAUAAGACUUUUAAAAAUGUGGAUAUUUGGGUCAUCUUUGGCGCCCCCUAGAACCUAAACCGUGGGGUGCAGCGUCAUGAUUUGUACAACUUUGAAUGGCCAUGGGGUGUAGAUUGGCCUGAGCAAAUUUGGUGUCAGUAGAACGAAAGCCUUAGGAGGAGUUAGCCACAUUCCAAUGUGUGCGAAUCGGCAAAAAAUGCAAGAUAGCCCUUUAACCGUACAUUUUACAGAUAUGUGCCCAUUGACUUUUUCGUAGAUCUUAUUGAGAUACACGUGUGUGUCAAAUUUUGUGUCAAUAUGACAAAGCGUAUAGGCGUGACACUGAACAAUGUGUAUUUUCACCUUAGGGGACAAGAAAAAAUGGACUUUUUUCUCCUGCCAUGUGGGGGCGCUCUUUAGGGGAGUAAAAAUUCCUUUACAAAUGUGUUGAUGGCUGGACAUUGCAUCAUCCUAGAAAACUUGGAGGCCAGUGAGGAAAAAAAUAAAAAGUUAUAAGACUUUUAAGAAUGUGGAUUUUUUGGUUAUCUUUGGCGCCCCCUAGAACCUAAACCGUGGGGUGCAGCGUCAUGAUUUGUACAACUUUCGAUGGCCAUGGGGUGUAGAUUGGCCUGAGCAAAUGUGGUGCCGGUGGAACGAAAGCCUUCGGAGGAGUUAGCGAAAUUUCAAUGUGUGCGGAUCGGCAAAAAAUGCGAAAUAACCCUUUAACCGUACAUUUGACAGAUACGCCCGCACUGACUUUUUUGUAGAUCUUAUUGAGAUACAUGUGUGUGUCAAUUUUUAUGUCAAUAUGACAAAGCGUACAGGCGUGACAGUCAACAGUGUGAAUUUCCACCUUAGGGGGCGCUAUGGAGCCAUUUUGCAUUUUAUUGUUUGGGCGACUUCAGAAUAUCGAAUUUUUCACCAGGCCCGGUCGUCCUGCCAAAUUUCAUGAGUUUUCGCCAGUGGGAAGUGGGCCAUUUUCCAGUUUAAAGCGGAGGAAAAAUAAUAAUAAUAAUAAUAACUAGGGCCCCGUUGGGGCACUGGCGGGCCCGAGCCGUGUCGCGCCGCCCCCAGCGCGACCGCCUACCCCUCUUGAUCGCGUCACACUCAAGGUCCAAAGAUGGUGUGCGCACUUGUCUGUGGUCAUUUACCAUUAUAAUGAAUGGGAGGCGCAGUUUCUACCAAAACGCUCGCUGCAGACAAACUCCAUGUCCUUUUUGAAAAAAGUCUGGACCAUGAGCGAGGGCACAAACACAGCUAGUAUAUAUCCAAAUGGCAAGUUGCUCCUCCUUUCGGUUUUGCCGAGAGAGCGAUGCUUUUGAGCCAUUGAGCGAUGGGCAGGAAAAACUUGACUUUUUCUCCUGCCAUGGGGGGGCGCUCUUUUGGGGAGAAAAAAUUCCUUCACAAAUGUGUUGAUGGCUGGACAUUGCAUCAUCCUAGAAAACUUGGAGGCCAGUGAGGACAAAAAUAAAAAGUUAUAAGACUUUUAAAAAUGUGGAUAUUUGGGUCGUCUUUGGCACCCCCUAGAACGUAAACCGUGGGGUGCAGCGUCAUGAUUUGUACAACUUUGAAUGGCCAUGGGGUGUAGAUUGACCUGAGCAAAUUUGAAGCCGAUGGGACAAAAGCUUUAGGAGGAGUUAGCCACAUUCCAAUGUGUGCGAAUCGGCAAAAAAUGCAAAAUAGCCCUUUAACCGUACAUUGAACAGAUACGCUCGCAUUGACUUUUUCGUAGAUCUUAUUGAGAUACAUGUGUGUGUCAAAUUUUGUGUCAUUUUGACAAAGCGUAAAGGCGUGACAAUCAACAAUGUGUAUUUUCGCCUUAGGAGACAAGAAAAAAUGGACUUUUUUCUCCUGCCAUGGGGGGGCGCUCUUUUGGCGAGUAAAAAUUCCUUCACAAAUGUGUUGAUGGCUGGACAUUGCAUCAUCCUAGAGAACUUGGAGGCCAGUGAGGACAAAAAUAAAAAGUUAUAAGACUUUUAAGACUGUGGAUUUUUGGGUUAUCUUUGGCGCCCCCUAGAACGUAAACCGUGGGGUGCAGUGUCAUGAUUUGUACAACUUUUAAUGGCCAUGGGGUGUAGAUUGGCCUGAGCAAAUGUGGUGCCGUUGGAACGAAAGCCUUCAGAGGAGUUAGCGAAAUUCCAAUGUGUGCGGAUCGGCAAAAAAUGCGAAAUAACCCUUUAACCGUACAUGUGACAGAUACGCCCGCACUGACUUUUUUGUAGAUCUUAUUGAGAUACAUGUGUGUGUCAAAUUUUGUGUCAUUUUGACAAAGCGUAAAGGCGUGACAGUCAACGAUGUGUAUUUUCGCCUUAGGAGACAAGAAAAAAUGGACAUUUUUCUCCUGCCAUGGGGGGGCGCUCUUUUGGCGAGUAAAAAUUCCUUCACAAAUGUGUUGAUGGCUGGACAUUGCAUCAUCCUAGAGAACUUGGAGGCCAGUGAGGACAAAAAUAAAAAGUUAUAAGACUUUUAAGACUGUGGAUUUUUGGGUUAUCUUUGGCGCCCCCUAGAACGUAAACCGUGGGGUGCAGCGUCAUGAUUUGUACAACUUUUAUUGGCCAUGGGGUGUAGAUUGGCCUGAGCAAAUGUGGUGCCGGUGGAAGGAAAACCUUCGGAGGAGUUAGCGAAAUUCCAAUGUGUGCGGAUCGGCAAAAAAUGCGAAAUAAACCUUUAACCGUACAUUUGACAGAUACGCCCGCACUGACUUUUUUGUAGAUCUUAUUGAGAUACACGUGUGUGUCAAAUUUUGUGUCAUUUUGACAAAGCGUACAGGCGUGACACUCAAUCAUGUGAAUUUUUCACCUUAGGGGGCGCUAUGGAGCCAUUUUGCAUUUGAUUUUUUGGGCGACUUCAGAAUAUCGAAUUUUUCACCAGGCCCGGUCGUCCUGCCAAAUUUCAUGACUUUUCACCAGUGGGAAGUGGGCCAUUUUCCAGUUCAAAGGGGCAGAAAAAUAAUAAGAAGAAGAAGAAGAAGAAAGAAGAAUCCAUCAGGAAUAAUAGGGCUCUCGCAGCUGCUUAGCAGCUACGCUCGGGCCCUAAUAACAAAAGAAGAAUCCAUCAGGAACAAGAGGGCUCUCGCAGCUGCUUAGCAGCUACGCUCGGGCCCUAACUAGGGCCCCGUUGGGGCACUGGCGGGCCCGAGCCGUGUCGCACCCCCCCCCCCCCCAACGCGCUGCCUCCCCGUCCCAUUCGUGUCCUCUGGCCAUCGCCCUCUCUGGUAACGCCCAUCACUGCAAAGACCCUUUUCCUUCAUCGGCGUUUGCUGUUCUUCCUGCCAGUGCGUGUUGCUUUAACUUACACUUGCCACAGCCAGCCUCGUGAGUGCCUAGCCUAUUGGAUAUCACUGUCACCUACACAGGACAGUCAUACUUUGUUUUUUAAUUUCACAUUAAUUUCCAUAUUGUAUAAACGACUGGAAAAAACUUGAGCCCCUGCCCCUGUAUUAUCAUGUGCACGUCCCUGUUCUAGCUCCAAGGUGAAUCUUCAGUGCUCAUGUUCUCCUCAGAAGCAGUCACCUCACUCCCCUCAGGUUACUGUACACAUGCACCAACUGCCUGCUUCAGGUUUGGAUGGAGCUUCAUGGUUGUCUUUUGGAGAAAUGACCAGUCAAGUUGUGUUUGAAAUCUGAUUUUUUUCAGGGGCAAAAGGAAGCCUCCGCAUUCUUGUCAAAUAUGUAAAUAGCAUGUUUUUGCAGGUGCUAAAAAACAGACUCUGAGUGUGUGUGUGUGUGUGUGUGUGUGUGUGUGUGUGUGUGUGUGUGUGUGUGCGUGUGUGUGUGUGUGUGUCUGUGUGUGUGUGUGUGUGUGUAUCCUGCAGUACUCUGAGAAGAAUAAUAAGCAUAUUUCUGAGGUGAAUUUUGAAGAUUCAUCUGAGAGUUAGGUUUGAUUCGAUUCGAUUGACGCUCCCCAGCGUUCAAGUCACAUGACAUAUUUAACCGGAUGUAGCUGCAAGACGGAGCCUCGUUAACUCUCCGUUUCAACUUAUCUCAAAAGUGAGGACCUCAACCUAUAUACCAGUUUUUAAAUUGUGUUGAUAGGCCAAAUAAAACCAGAGUUAUGAUAAAUUAUGUCCGCGAUACUUUUUUUCUGCUUAUUUUGAUCACGUUCGGCGCUCGAUCGUGCUGUAUGAGACAGGAAAACAUUGCAUGCACACAUUAGUGACAGGUCAUACAGGCGGAAAAGGCUUGCCAAAAGAAAAAAAAACACACCACAACAUCUCUCCUAUUGGUGGAAAACUUCACCACAACAACCAAUCCAAAAUUAUAUGGUGACUGAUUGACAAGGGGCGGGCGCUUACGUUCUUCCUGCAACAUGAGAAGGGAGGGAGGGACUCUCAGCAGGGAUGCAGUCUGGGACACGUAGUUGCAAACCUAGCGACUUUGUUGUUAGAUUCAAUUACUUUUCAGACCCCCUAACGACUUUUUUUAGAAAGAAAGGGACUUUUAUCGACUUCUUCUGGAGUUUAGAGACUCUGACAUGAAGCAGGCUUUCCUUACUGAGGAGUUAGCAACGCUGCUAAGGGUGCAGAGCCACACAUGCGCUCCGAGCUCUGCAUGGGAGACAGAAGCUGACAGAGCUGCAGCAGUUAGCAGGUUUCACCCUCAGAGACCACCAGGGGUUCAUGUUGAGGCAUUUUCAGUUUUUUUUUUUUUGCCAUAGACAGUCAGCACAAUCUGCAGUUACACUAACAAAAAUGCUGCAAAAAACAAAGAAUUAUGGAAAAAUUACACAUGGACUGACAUAGAGGAGGAUCUACACAAGUUUUUUACAUCAUGUUUUACAUCAUGCAUCAUUUACAUCAUGUUUUUUUGUAGUGGCAUAAAUAAAAAGUGACAUUUGUGAGACUAUACAGUGUUUUGUAAAUAAUUUUACAAAGAACGCCUGGGCCAUUGCCUGCAUUUUGAUGUAAAUAGAGGUAAAUUACUAUGUUCUUUGUUAAAAAUUUGCAUAUGUUUUGAAGUUUACAAUUUUUAUUUGAAGUUUAAGUUUUAAAAACAGUUCAUCACACAUAUUUGUGGUUUAAUUUCACAUUAAUUUCCAUAUUGUAUAAAUGACUGGAAAAAACUUGAGCCCCUGCCCCUGUAUAAUCAUGUGCACGUCCCUGUUCUAGCUCCAAGGUGAAUCUUCACUGCUCAUGUUCUCCUCAGAAAUAGUCACCUCACUCUCCUCAGGUUACUGUACACAUGCACCAACUAUCUGCUUCAGGUUUGGAUGGAGCUUCAUGGUUGUCUUUUGGAGAAAUGAACAGUCAAGUUGUGUUUGAAAUCUGAUUUUUUUCAGGGGCAAAAGGAAGCCUCUGCAUUCUUGUCAAAUAUGUAAACAGCAUGUUUUUGCAGGUGCUAAAAAAAAGACUCUGAGUGUGUGUGUGUGUGUGUGUGUGUGUGUGUGUGUGUGUGUGUGUGUGUGUGUGUGUGUGUGUGUGUGUGUGUGUGUGUAUCCUGCAGUACUCUGUACUCCUGCAGUGGCCAAAAAGACUUUUAAGAAUGUGGAUUUUUGGGUCAUCUUUGGCGCCCCCUAGAACUGCAGUACUCUGUACUCCUGCAGUGGCCAAAAUGACUUUUAAGAAUGUGGAUUUUUGGGUCAUCUUUGGCGCCCCCUAGAACGUAAACCGUGGGGUGCAGCGUCAUGAUUUUUACAACUUUGAAUGGGCAUGGGGUGUAGAUUGGCCUGAGCAAAUUUGGUAUCGGUGGGACGAAAGCCUUAGGAGGAGAUAGCCACAUUCCAAUGUGUGCGAAUCAACCAAAAAUGCGAAAUAGCCCUUUAACCGUACAUUUUGCAGACACGUGCGCAUUGACUUUUUCGUAGAUCUUAUUGAGAUACACGUGAUUAUCAAAUUUUGUUUCAAUAUGACAAAGCGUACAGGCGUGACACUCAACAAUGUGUAUUUUCACCUUAUAGGACAAGAAAAAAUGGCCUUUUUUCUCCUGCCAUGGGGGGGCGCUCUUUUGGGGAGUAAAAAUUCCUUCACAAAUGUGUUGAUGGCUGGACAUUGCAUCAUCCUAGAAAACUUGGAGGCCAGUGAGGACAAAAAUAAAAAGUUAUAAGACUUGUAAGAAUGUGGAUUUUUGGGUUAUCUUUGGCGCCCCCUACAACGUAAACCGUGGGGUGCAGCGUCAUGAUUUGUACAACUUUGAAUGGCAAUGGGGUGUAGAUUGGCCUGAGCAAAUUUGGUGCCGGUGGAACGAAAGCCUUCGGAGGAGUUAGCGAAAUUCCAAUGUGUGCGGAUCGGCAAAAAAUGCGAAAUAGCCCUUUAAACGUACAUUUGACAGAUACGCCCGCACUGACUUUUUUGUAGAUCUUAUUGAGAUACACGUGUGUGUCAAAUUUUGUGUCAUUUUGACAAAGCGUACAGGCGUGACACUCAAUCAUGUGAAUUUUUCACCUUAGGGGGCGCUAUGGAGCCAUUUUGCAUUUGAUUGUUUGGGUGACUUCAGAAUAUCGAAUUUUUCACCAGGCCCGGUCGUCCUGCCAAAUUUCAUGAGUUUUCACCAGUGGGAAGUGGGCCAUUUUCCAGUUCAAAGGGGCAGAAAAAUAACUAGGGCCCCGUUGGGGCACUGGCGGGCCCGAGCCGUGUCGCGCCGCCCCCAGCGCGACCGCCUACCCCUCUUGAUCGCGUCACACUCAAGGUCCAAAGAUGGUGUGCGCACUUGUCUGUGGUCAUUUACCAUUAUAAUGAAUGGGAGGCGCAGUUUCUACCAAAACGCUCGCUGCAGACAAACUCCAUGUCCUUUUUGAAAAAAGUCUGGACCAUGAGCGAGGGCACAAACACAGCUAGUAUAUAUCCAAAUGGCAAGUUGCUCCUCCUUUCGGUUUUGCCGAGAGAGCGAUGCUUUUGAGCCAUUGAGCGAUGGGCAGGAAAAACUUGACUUUUUCUCCUGCCAUGGGGGGCGCUCUUUUGGGGAGAAAAAUUCCUUCACAAAUGUGUUGAUGGCUGGACAUUGCAUCAUCCUAGAAAACUUGGAGGCCAGUGAGGACAAAAAUAAAAAGUUAUAAGACUUUUAAAAAUGUGGAUAUUUGGGUCGUCUUUGGCACCCCCUAGAACGUAAACCGUGGGGUGCAGCGUCAUGAUUUGUACAACUUUGAAUGGCCAUGGGGUGUAGAUUGACCUGAGCAAAUUUGAAGCCGAUGGGACAAAAGCUUUAGGAGGAGUUAGCCACAUUCCAAUGUGUGCGAAUCGGCAAAAAAUGCAAAAUAGCCCUUUAACCGUACAUUGAACAGAUACGCUCGCAUUGACUUUUUCGUAGAUCUUAUUGAGAUACAUGUGUGUGUCAAAUUUUGUGUCAUUUUGACAAAGCGUAAAGGCGUGACAAUCAACAAUGUGUAUUUUCGCCUUAGGAGACAAGAAAAAAUGGACUUUUUUCUCCUGCCAUGGGGGGGCGCUCUUUUGGCGAGUAAAAAUUCCUUCACAAAUGUGUUGAUGGCUGGACAUUGCAUCAUCCUAGAGAACUUGGAGGCCAGUGAGGACAAAAAUAAAAAGUUAUAAGACUUUUAAGACUGUGGAUUUUUGGGUUAUCUUUGGCGCCCCCUAGAACGUAAACCGUGGGGUGCAGUGUCAUGAUUUGUACAACUUUUAAUGGCCAUGGGGUGUAGAUUGGCCUGAGCAAAUGUGGUGCCGUUGGAACGAAAGCCUUCAGAGGAGUUAGCGAAAUUCCAAUGUGUGCGGAUCGGCAAAAAAUGCGAAAUAACCCUUUAACCGUACAUGUGACAGAUACGCCCGCACUGACUUUUUUGUAGAUCUUAUUGAGAUACAUGUGUGUGUCAAAUUUUGUGUCAUUUUGACAAAGCGUAAAGGCGUGACAGUCAACGAUGUGUAUUUUCGCCUUAGGAGACAAGAAAAAAUGGACAUUUUUCUCCUGCCAUGGGGGGGCGCUCUUUUGGCGAGUAAAAAUUCCUUCACAAAUGUGUUGAUGGCUGGACAUUGCAUCAUCCUAGAGAACUUGGAGGCCAGUGAGGACAAAAAUAAAAAGUUAUAAGACUUUUAAGACUGUGGAUUUUUGGGUUAUCUUUGGCGCCCCCUAGAACGUAAACCGUGGGGUGCAGCGUCAUGAUUUGUACAACUUUUAUUGGCCAUGGGGUGUAGAUUGGCCUGAGCAAAUGUGGUGCCGGUGGAAGGAAAACCUUCGGAGGAGUUAGCGAAAUUCCAAUGUGUGCGGAUCGGCAAAAAAUGCGAAAUAAACCUUUAACCGUACAUUUGACAGAUACGCCCGCACUGACUUUUUUGUAGAUCUUAUUGAGAUACACGUGUGUGUCAAAUUUUGUGUCAUUUUGACAAAGCGUACAGGCGUGACACUCAAUCAUGUGAAUUUUUCACCUUAGGGGGCGCUAUGGAGCCAUUUUGCAUUUGAUUUUUUGGGCGACUUCAGAAUAUCGAAUUUUUCACCAGGCCCGGUCGUCCUGCCAAAUUUCAUGACUUUUCACCAGUGGGAAGUGGGCCAUUUUCCAGUUCAAAGGGGCAGAAAAAUAAUAAGAAGAAGAAGAAGAAGAAAGAAGAAUCCAUCAGGAAUAAUAGGGCUCUCGCAGCUGCUUAGCAGCUACGCUCGGGCCCUAACUAGGACCCCGUUGGGGCACUGGCGGGCCCGAGCCGUGUCGCGUCCCCCCCCCCCCCCCCCCCAACGUGCUGCCUUCCCGUCCCAUUUGUGUCCUCUGGCCAUCGCCCUCUCUGGUAACGCCCAUCACUGCAAAGACCCUUUUCCUUCAUCGGCGUUUGCUGUUCUUCCUGCCAGUGCGUGUUGCUUUCACUUACACUUGCCACAGCCAGCCUCGUGAGUGCCUAGCCUAUUGGAUAUCACUGUCACCUACACAGGACAGUCAUUACCUUUCUAUUAAUACUUUGUGUUUUAAUUUCACAUUAAUUUCCAUAUUGUAUAAACGACUGGAAAAAACUUGAGCCCCUGCCCCUGUAUAAUCAUGUGCAUGUCUCUGUUCUAGCUCCAAGGUGAAUCUUCACUGCUCAUGUUCUCCUCAGAAGCAGUCACCUCACUCCCCUCAGGGUACUGUACACAUGCACCAACUGCCUGCUUCAGGUUUGGAUGGAGCUUCAUGGUUGUCUUUUGGAGAAAUGACCAGUCAAGUUGUGUUUGAAAUUUGAUUUUUUUCAGGGGCAAAAGGAGCCUCUGCAUUCUUGUCAAAUAUGUAAAUAGCAUGUUUUUGCAGGUGCUAAAAACCAGACUCUGAGUGUGUGUGUGUGUGUGUGUGUGCGUGUGUGUGUGUGUGUGUGUGUGUGUGUGUGUGUGCGUGUGUGUGUGUCUAUGUGUGCGUUCAAGUCACAUGACAUAUUUAACCGGAUGUAGCUGCAAGACGGAGCCUUGUUGACUCUCCGUUUCAACUUAUCUCAAAAGUGAGGACCUCAACCUAUAUACCAGUUUUUAAAUUGUGUUGAUAGGCCAAAUAAAACCAGAGUUAUGAUAAAUUAUGUCCGCGAUACUUUUUUUCUGCUUAUUUUGAUCACGUUCGGCGCUCGAUCGCGCUGUAUGAGACAGGAAAACAUAGCAUGCAGACAUUAGCGACAGGUCUUACAGGCGGAAAAGGCUUGCCAAAAGAAAAAAAAAACACACCACAACAUCUCUCCUAUUGGUGGAAAACUUCACCACAACAACCAAUCCAAAAUUAUAUGGUGACUGAUUGACAAGGGGCGGGCGCUUACGUUCUUCCUGCAACAUGAGAAGGGAGGGAGGGACUCUCAGCAGGGAUGCAGUCUGGGACACGUAGUUGCAAACCUAGCGACUUUGUUGUUAGAUUCAAUGACUUUUCAGACACCCUAACGACUUUUUUUUAGAAAGAAAGGGACUUUUAUCGACUUCUUCUGGAGUUUAGAGACUCUGACAUGAAGCAGGCUUUCCUUACUGAGGAGUUAGCAACGCUGCUAAGGGUGCAGAGCCACACAUGCGCUCAGAGCUCUGCAUGGGAGACUGAAGCUGACAGAGCUGCAGCAGUUAGCAGGUUUCACCCUCAGAGACCACCAGGGGUUCAUGUUGAGGCAUUUUAAUUUUUUUUUUUUUUUUGUGCCAUAGACACUGUCAGCACAAUCUGCAGUUACACUAACAAAAAUGCUGCAAAAAACAAAGAAUUAUGGAAAAAUUACACAUGGACUGACAUAGAGGAGGAUCUACACAAGUUUUUUACAUCAUGUUUUACAUCAUGCAUCAUUUACAUCAUGUUUUUUUGUAGUGGCAUAAAUAAAAAGUGACAUUUGUGAGACUAUACAGUGUUUUGUAAAUAAUUUUACAAAGAACGCCUGGGCCAUUGCCUGCAUUUUGAUGUAAAUAGAGGUAAAUCACUAUGUUCUUUGUUAAAAAUUUGCAUAUGUUUUGAAGUUUACAAUUUUUAUUUGAAGUUUAAGUUUUGAAAACAGUUCAUCACACAUAUUUGUGGUUUUCACAGUAAAAAUGUUACUUUUUUCCACUCGGAUUUUAUGUUUUGUGUGUGAAUUUGGGUCCAUUGUGUAAAUUCAGUAUGUCAACAUGAUAAAAUAACUGUAAAUUCGCACAGGUGAGGUUGUGCUGAAAAAAAUGAUACCAGGCAAGGCACGUGAUUGUCAAAUUUUGUGUCAAUAUGACAAAGCGUAUAGGCGUGAAUCUCAACAAUAUGUAUUUUCACCUUAGGGGACAAGAAAAAAUGGACUUUUUUCUCCUGCCAUGGGGGGGCGCUCUUUUGGGGAGUAAAAAUUCCUUCACAAAUGUGUUGAUGGCUGGACAUUGCAUCAUCCUAGAAAACUUGGAGGCCAGUGAGGACAAAAAUAAAAAGUUAUAAGACUUUUAAAUAUGUGGAUUUUAGGGUUAUCUUUGGCGCCCCCUAGAACCUAAACCGUGGGGUGCAGCGUCAAGAUUUUGAUAACUUUUAAUGGCCAUGGGGUGUAGAUUGGCCUGAGCAAAUGUGGUGCCGGUGGAACGAAAGCCUUAGGAGGAGUUAGCCACAUUCCAAUGUGUGCGGAUCGGCAAAAAAUGCGGAAUAACCCUUUAACCGUACAUUUGACAGAUACGCGCGCAUUGACUUUUUCGUAGAUCUUAUUGAGUUACAUGUGUGUGUCAAUUUUUGUGUCAUUUGGACAAAGCGUAUAGGCGUGACACUCAACAAUGUGUAUUUUCACCUUAGGGGACAAGAAAAAAUGGACUUUUUUCUCCUGCCAUGGGGGGGCGCUCUUUUGGGGAGUAAAAAUUCCUUCACAAAUGUGUUGAUGGCUGGACAUUGCAUCAUCCUAGAAAACUUGGAGGCCAGUGAGGACAAAAAUAAAAAGUUAUAAGACUUUUAAAUAUGUGGAUUUUAGUGUUAUCUUUGGCGCCCCCUAGAACCUAAACCUUGGGGUGCAGCGUCAUGAUUUUGAUAACUUUUAAUGGCCACGGGGUGUAGAUUGGCCUGAGCAAAUGUGGUGCCGGUGGAACGAAAGCCUUCGGAGGAGUUAGCGAAAUUCCAAUGUGUGCGGAUCGGCAAAAAAUGCGAAAUAACCCUUUAACCGUACAUUUGACAGAUACGGCCGCACUGACUUUUUUGUAGAUCUUAUUGAGAUACAUAUGUGUGUCAAUUUUUGUGUCAAUAUGACAAAGCGUACAGGCGUGACAGGCAAUAGUGUGAAUUUCCACCUUAGGGGGCGCUAUGGAGCCAUUUUGCAUUUUCUUGUUUGGGCGACUUCAGAAUAUCGAAUUUUUCACCAGGCCCGGUCGUCCUGCCAAAUUUCAUGAGUUUUCGCCAGUGGGAAGUGGGCCAUUUUCCAGUUCAAAGGGGAGGAAAAAGAAGAAAGAAAAAAGAACUAGGGCCCCGGUGGGGCACUGUCGGGCCCGAGCCGCGUCGUGCCGCCCCCAGCGUGACCGCCUCCCCCUCCCGAUCGCGUCACACUCAAGGUCCAAAGAUGGUGUGCGCACUUGUCUGUGGUCAUUUCCCAUUAUAAUGAAUGGGAGGCGCAGUUUCUACCAAAACACUCGCUGCAGACAAACUUCAUGUCCUAUUUGAAAAAAGUCUGGACCAUGAGUGAGGGCACAAACACAGCUGGGAUAUAUCCAAAUGGCAGGUUGCUCCUCCUUACGGUGUUGCCUGUAGAGCGAUGCGAUUGAGCCAUUGAGCGAUGGGCAGGAAAAACUUGACUUUUUCUCGUGCCAUGGGGGGGGAGAAUGUGGAUUCUUUUAAGAAUGUGGAUUUUUUGGUCAUCUUUGGCGCCCCCUAGAACGUAAACCGUGGGGUGCAGCAUCAUGAUUUGAAUAACUUUUAAUGGCCAUGGGGUGUAGAUCGGCCUGAGCAAAUUUGGUUUCAGUGGGACGAAAGCCUUAGGAGGAGUUAGCCACAUUCCAAUGUGUGCGAAUCGGCAAAAAAUGCAAAAUAGCCCUCUAACCGUAUAUUUGACAGAUACGCACCCAUUGACUUUUUCGUAGAUCUUAUUGAGAUACACGUGAUUGUCAAAUUUUGUGUCAAUAUGACAAAGCGUACAGGUGUCACACUCAACAAUGUGAAUUUUCACCUUUCGGGACAAGAAAAAAUUGACUUUUUUCUCCUGCCAUGGGGGGGGGGGCGCUCUUUUGGGGAGUAAAAAUUCCUUCACAAAUGCGUUGAUGGCUGGACAUUGCAUCAUCCUAGAAAACUUGGAGGCCAGUGAGGGCAAAAAUAAAAAGUUAUAAGACUUUGAAAUAUGUGGAUUUUAGGGUUAUCUUUGGCGCCCCCUAGAACCUAAACCGUGGGGUGCAGCGUCAUGAUUUGAAUAACUUUUAAUGGCCAUGGGGUGUAGAUUGGCCUGAGCAAAUGUGGUGCCGGUGGAACGAAAGCCUUAGGAGGAGUUAGCGAAAUUCCAAUGUGUGCGGAUCAGAAAAAAUGCGGAAUAACCCUUUAACCGUACAUUUGACAGAUACGCGCGCAUUGACUUUUUCGUAGAUCUUAUUGAGAUACAUGUGUGUGUCAAAUUUUGUGUCAAUAUGACAAAGCGUACAGGCGUGACACUCAACAAUGUGUAUUUUCAAAUUAGGGGACAAGAAAAAAUGGACUUUUUUCUCCUGCCAUGGGGGGGCGCUCUUUUGGGGAGUAAAAAUUCCUUCACAAAUGUGUUGAUGGCUGGACAUUGCAUCAUCCUAGAGAACUUGGAGGCCAGUGAGGACAAAAAUAAAAAGUUAUAAGACUUUUAAAUAUGUGGAUUUUAGGGUUAUAUUUGGCGCCCCCUAGAACCUAAACCGUGGGGUGCAGCAUCAUGAUUUGAAUAACUUUUAAUGGCCAUGGGGUGUAGAUUGGCCUGAGCAAAUGUGGUGCCGGUGGAACGAAAGCCUUCGGAGGAGUUAGCGAAAUUCCAAUGUGUGCGGAUCGGCAAAAAAUGCGAAAUGACCCUUUAACCGUACAUUUGACAGAUACGCGCGUAUGACUUUUUCGUAGAUCUUAUUGAGAUACACAUGUGUGUCAAUUUUUGUGUCAAUAUGACAAAGCGUACAGGCGUGACAGUCAAUAGUGUGAAUUUUCACCUUAGGGGACAAGAAAAAAUGGACUUUUUUCUCCUGCCAUGGGGGGGCGCUCUUUUGGGGAGUCAAAAUUCCUUCACAAAUGUGUUGAUGGCUGGACAUUGCAUCAUCCUAGUAAACUUGGAGGCCAGUGAGGAAAAAAAUAAAAAGUUAUAAGACUUUUAAAUAUGUGGAUUUUAGGGUUAUCUUUGGCGCCCCCUAGAACCUAAACCGUGGGGUGCAGCGUCAUGAUUUGAAUAACUUUUAAUGGCCAUGGGGUGUAGAUUGACCUGAGCAAAUGUUGUGCCGAUGGAAGGAAAGUCUUCAGAGGAGUUAGCGAAAUUCCGAUGUGUGUGGAUCGGCAAAAAAUGCGAAAUAACCCGUUAACCGUAAAUUUGACAGAUACGCCCGCACUGACUUUUUUGUAGAUCUUAUUGAGAUACAUAUGUGUGUCAAUUUUUGUGUCAAUAUGACAAAGCGUACAGCCGAGACAGUCAAUAGUUUGAAUUUUCAUCUUAGGGGGCGCUAUGGAGCCAUUUUGCAUUUUAUUGUUUGGGCGACUUCAGAAUAUCAAAUUUUUCACCAGGCCCGGUCGUCCUGCCAAAUUUCAUGAGUUUUCGCCAGUGGGAAGUGGGCCAUUUUCCAGUUCAAAGGGGAGGAAAAAGAAGAAACUAGGACCCCGUUGGGGCACUGGCGGGCCCGAGCCGUGUCGCGUCCCCCCCCCCCCCCCACCCCCCCACCCCCCAACAUGCUGCCUCCCCGUCCCAUUUGUGUCCUCUGGCCAUCGCCCUCUCUGGUAACGCCCAUCACUGCAAAGACCCUUUUCCUUCAUCGGCGUUUGCUGUUCUUCCUGCCAGUGCGUGUUGCUUUCACUUACACUUGCCACAGCCAGCCUCGUGAGUGCCUAGCCUAUUGGAUAUCACUGUCACCUACACAGGACAGUCAUUACCUUUCUAUUAAUACUUUGUGUUUUAAUUUCACAUUAAUUUCCAUAUUGUAUAAACGACUGGAAAAAACUUGAGCCCCUGCCCCUGUAUAAUCAUGUGCAUGUCUCUGUUCUAGCUCCAAGGUGAAUCUUCACUGCUCAUGUUCUCCUCAGAAGCACUCACCUCACUCCCCUCAGGUUACUGUACACAUGCACCAACUGCCUGCUUCAGGUUUGGAUGGAGCUUCAUGGUUGUCUUUUGGAGAAAUGACCAGUCAAGUUGUGUUUGAAAUUUGAUUUUUUUCAGGGGCAAAAGGAGCCUCUGCAUUCUUGUCAAAUAUGUAAAUAGCAUGUUUUUGCAGGUGCUAAAAACCAGACUCUGAGUGUGUGUGUGUGUGUGUGUGUGUGUGUGUGUGUGUGUGCGUGUGUGUGUGUCUGUGUGUGCGUUCAAGUCACAUGACAUAUUUAAUCGGAUGUAGCUGCAAGACGGAGCCUCGUUGACUCUCCGUUUCAACUUAUCUCAAAAGUGAGGACCUCAACCUAUAUACCAGUUUUUAAAUUGUGUUGAUAGGCCAAAUAAAACCAGAGUUAUGAUAAAUUAUGUCCGCGAUACUUUUUUUCUGCUUAUUUUGAUCACGUUCGGCGCUCGAUCGCGCUGUAUGAGACAGGAAAACAUAGCAUGCAGACAUUAGCGACAGGUCUUACAGGCGGAAAAGGCUUGCCAAAAGAAAAAAAAAACACACCACAACAUCUCUCCUAUUGGUGGAAAACUUCACCACAACAACCAAUCCAAAAUUAUAUGGUGACUGAUUGACAAGGGGCGGGCGCUUACGUUCUUCCUGCAACAUGAGAAGGGAGGGAGGGACUCUCAGCAGGGAUGCAGUCUGGGACACGUAGUUGCAAACCUAGCGACUUUGUUGUUAGAUUCAAUGACUUUUCAGACCCCCUAACGACUUUUUUUUAGAAAGAAAGGGACUUUUAUCGACUUCUUCUGGAGUUUAGAGACUCUGACAUGAAGCAGGCUUUCCUUACUGAGGAGUUAGCAACGCUGCUAAGGGUGCAGAGCCACACAUGCGCUCAGAGCUCUGCAUGGGAGACUGAAGCUGACAGAGCUGCAGCCGUUAGCAGGUUUCACCCUCAGAGACCACCAGGGGUUCAUGUUGAGGCAUUUUAAAUUUUUUUUUUUUUGUGCCAUAGACACUGUCAGCACAAUCUGCAGUUACACUAACAAAAAUGCUGCAAAAAACAAAGAAUUAUGGAAAAAUUACACAUGGACUGACAUAGAGGAGGAUCUACACAAGUUUUUUACAUCAUGUUUUACAUCAUGCAUCAUUUACAUCAUGUUUUUUUGUAGUGGCAUAAAUAAAAAGUGACAUUUGUGAGACUAUACAGUGUUUUGUAAAUAAUUUUACAAAGAACGCCUGGGCCAUUGCCUGCAUUUUGAUGAAAAUAGAGGUAAAUCACUAUGUUCUUUGUUAAAAAUUUGCAUAUGUUUUGAAGUUUACAAUUUUUAUUUGAAGUUUAAGUUUUAAAAACAGUUCAUCACACAUAUUUGUGGUUUUCACAGUAAAAAUGUUACUUUUUUCCACUCGGAUUUUAUGUUUUGUGUGUGAAUUUGGGUCCAUUGUGUAAAUUCAGUAUGUCAACAUGAUAAAAUAACUGUAAAUUCGCACAGGUGAGGUUGUGCUGAAAAAAUGAUACCAGGCAAGGCACGUGAUUGUCAAAUUUUGUGUCAAUAUGACAAAGCGUAUAGGCGUGAAUCUCAACAAUAUGUAUUUUCACCUUAGGGGACAAGAAAAAAUGGACUUUUUUCUCCUGCCAUGGGGGGGCGCUCUUUUGGGGAGUAAAAAUUCCUUCACAAAUGUGUUGAUGGCUGGACAUUGCAUCAUCCUAGAAAACUAAAAAACUUGGAGGCCAGUGAGGACAAAAAUAAAAAGUUAUAAGACUUUUAAAUAUGUGGAUUUUAGGGUUAUCUUUGGCGCCCCCUAGAACCUAAACCGUGGGGUGCAGCGUCAUGAUUUGAAUAACUUUUAAUGGCCAUGGGGUGUAGAUUGUCCUGAGCAAAUGUGGUGCCGGUGGAACGAAAGCCUUAGGAGGAGUUAGCCACAUUCCAAUGUGUGCGGAUCGGCAAAAAAUGCGGAAUAACCCUUUAACCGUACAUUUGACAGAUACGCGCGCAUUGACUUUUUCGUAGAUCUUAUUGAGUUACAUGUGUGUGUCAAUUUUUGUGUCAUUUUGACAAAGCGUAUAGGCGUGACACUCAACAAUGUGUAUUUUCACCUUAGGGGACAAGAAAAAAUUGACUUUUUUCUCCUGCCAUGGGGGGGCGCUCUUUUGGGGAGUAAAAAUUCCUUCACAAAUGUGUUGAUGGCUGGACAUUGCAUCAUCCUAGAAAACUUGGAGGCCAGUGAGGACAAAAAUAAAAAGUUAUAAGACUUUUAAAUAUGUGGAUUUUAGUGUUAUCUUUGGCGCCCCCUAGAACCUAAACCUUGGGGUGCAGCGUCAUGAUUUUGAUAACUUUUAAUGGCCACGGGGUGUAGAUUGGCCUGAGCAAAUGUGGUGCCGGUGGAACGAAAGCCUUCGGAGGAGUUAGCGAAAUUCCAAUGUGUGCGGAUCGGCAAAAAAUGCGAAAUAACCCUUUGACCGUACAUUUGACAGAUACGGCCGCAUUGACUUUUUCGUAGAUCUUAUUGAGAUACAUAUGUGUGUCAAUUUUUGUGUCAUUUUGACAAAGCGUAUAGGCGUGACACUCAACAAUGUGUAUUUUCACCUUAGGGGACAAGAAAAAAUGGACUUUUUUCUCCUGCCAUGGGGGGGCGCUCUUUUGGGGAGUAAAAAUUCCUUCACAAAUGUGUUGAUGGCUGGACAUUGCAUCAUCCUAGAAAACUUGGAGGCCAGUGAGGACAAAAAUAAAAAGUUAUAAGACUUUUAAAUAUGUGGAUUUUAGUGUUAUCUUUGGCGCCCCCUAGAACCUAAACCUUGGGGUGCAGCGUCAUGAUUUUGAUAACUUUUAAUGGCCACGGGGUGUAGAUUGGCCUGAGCAAAUGUGGUGCCGGUGGAACGAAAGCCUUCGGAGGAGUUAGCGAAAUUCCAAUGUGUGCGGAUCGGCAAAAAAUGCGAAAUAACCCUUUGACCGUACAUUUGACAGAUACGGCCGCACUGACUUUUUUGUAGAUCUUAUUGAGAUACAUAUGUGUGUCAAUUUUUGUGUCAAUAUGACAAAGCGUACAGGCGUGACAGUCAAUAGUGUGAAUUUCCACCUUAGGGGGCGCUAUGGAGCCAUUUUGCAUUUUAUUGUUUGGGCGACUUCAGAAUAUCGAAUUUUUCACCAGGCCCGGUCGUCCUGCCAAAUUUCAUGAGUUUUCGCCAGUGGGAAGUGGGCCAUUUUCCAGUUCAAAGGGGAGGAAAAAGAAGAAAGAAAGAAAGAAAGAAAGAAAGAAACAAAGAAAAACCACUUGGGGAAUAAUAGGGCCUACGCCCGGCUGCUCUGCAGCUGGCUCGGGCCCUAAAGAAAGAAAGAAAGAAAGAAACAACUAGGGCCCCGGUGGGGCACUGUCGGGCCCGAGCCGCGUCGCGCCGCCCCCAGCGUGACCGCCUCCCCCUCCCGAUCGCGUCACACUCAAGGUCCAAAGAUGGUGUGCGCACUUGUCUGUAAUCAUUUCCCAUUAUAAUGAAUGGGAGGCGCAGUUUCUACCAAAACACUCGCUGCAGACAAACUUCAUGUCCUAUUUGAAAAAAGUCUGGACCAUGAGUGAGGGCACAAACACAGCUAUGAUAUAUCGAAAUGGCAGGUUGCUCCUCCUUACGGUGUUGCCUGGAGAGCGAUGCGAUUGAGCCAUUGAGCGAUGGGCAGGGUUAACUUGACUUUUUCUCCUGCCUUGGGGGGGGGGGGGGGGGGGAUUCUUUUAAGAAUGUGGAUUUUUGGGUCAUCUUUGGCGCCCCCUAGAACGUAAACCGUGGGGUGCAGCGUCAUGAUUUUUACAACUUUGAAUGGCCAUGGGGUGUAGAUUGGCCUGAGCAAAUUUUGUGUCAGUGGGACGAAAGCCUUAGGAGGAGUUAGCCACAUUCCAAUGUGUGCGAAUCGGCAAAAAAUGCAAAAUAGCCCUUUAACCGUACAUUUGACAGAUACGCGCGCAUUGACUUUUUUGUAGAUAUUAUUGAGAUACAUAUGUGUGUCAAUUUUUGUGUCAAUAUGAUAAAGCGUACAGGCGUGACAGUCAAUAGUGUGAAUUUCCACCUUAGGGGACAAGAAAAAAUGGACUUUUUUCUCCUGCCAUGGGGGGGCGCUCUUUUGGGGAGUAAAAAUUCCUUCACAAAUGUGUUGAUGGCUGGACAUUGCAUCAUCCUAGAAAACUUGGAGGCCAGUGAGGACAAAAAUAAAAAGUUAUAAGACUUUUAAAAAUGUGGAUUUUUGGGUUAUCUUUGGCGCCCCCUAGAACGUAAACCGUGGGGUGCAGCGUCAUGAUUUGAAUAACUUUUAAUGGCCAUGGGGUGUAGAUUGGCCUGAGCAAAUGUGGUGCCGGUGGAACGAAAGCCUUCGGAGGAGUUAGCGAAAUUCCAAUGUGUGCGGAUCGGCAAAAAAUGCGAAAUAACCCUUUAACCGUACAUUAGACAGAUACGCGCGCAUGGACUUUUUUGUAGAUCUUAUUGAGAUACAUGUGUGUGUCAAUUUUUGUGUCAUUUUGACAAAGCGUACAGGCGUGACAGUCAAUAGUGUGAAUUUUCACCUUAGGGGACAAGAAAAAAUGGACUUUUUUCUCCUGCCAUGGGGGGGCGCUCUUUUGGGGAGUAAAAAUUCCUUCACAAAUGUGUUGAUGGCUGGACAUUGCAUCAUCCUAGAAAACUUGGAGGCCAGUGAGGGCAAAAAUAAAAAGUUAUAAGACUUUUAAAUAUGUGGAUUUUAGGGUUAUCUUUGGCGCCCCCUAGAACCUAAACCGUGGGGUGCAGCGUCAUGAUUUGAAUAACUUUUAAUGGCCAUGGGGUGUAGAUUGGCCUGAGCAAAUGUGGUGCCGGUGGAACGAAAGCCUUCGGAGGAGUUAGCGAAAUUCCAAUGUGUGCGGAUCGGCAAAAAAUGCGAAAUAGCCCUUUAACCGUACAUUUGACAGAUACGCCCGCACUGACUUUUUUGUAGAUCUUAUUGAGAUACAUGUGUGUGUCAAUUUUUGUGUCAUUUUGACAAAGCGUACAGGCGUGACAGUCAAUAGUGUGAAUUUUCACCUUAGGGGGCGCUAUGGAGCCAUUUUGCAUUUUCUUGUUUGGGCGACUUCGGAAUAUCAAAUUUUUCACCAGGCCCGGUCGUCCUGCCAAAUUUCAUGAGUUUUCGCCAGUGGGAAGUGGGCCAUUUUCCAGUUCAAAGGGGAGGAAAAAUAAUAACUAGGGCCCCGGUGGGGCACUGUCGGGCCCGAGCCGCGUUGCGCCGCCCCCAGCGCGACCGCCUCCCCCUCCCGAUCGCGUCACACUCAAGGUCCAAAGAUGGUGUGCGCACUUGUCUGUGGUCAUUUCCCAUUAUAAUGAAUGGGAGGUGCAGUUUCUACCAAAACACUCGCUGCAGACAAACUACAUGUCCUAUUUGAAAAAAGUCUGGACCAUGAGUGAGGGCACAAACACAGCUAGGAUAUAUCCAAAUGGCAAGUUGCUCCUCGUUACGGUGUUGCCGGGAGAGUGAUGCGAUUGAGCCAUUGAGUUAUGGGCAGGAAAAACUUGACUGUUUCUCCUGCCAUGGGGGUUGGGGGUUGGGGGAUGGGGGGGGGGGGGGUGGAUUCUUUUAAGAAUGUGGAUAUUUGGGUCAUCUUUGGCGCCCCCUAGAACGUAAACCGUGGGGUGCAGCGUCAUGAUUUUUACAACUUUGAAUGGCCAUGGGGUGUAGAUUGGCCUGAGCAAAUUUGGUGUCAGUGGGACGAAAGCCUUAGGAGGAGUUAGCCACAUUCCAAUGUGUGCGAAUCGGCAAAAAAUGCAAAAUAGCCCUUUAACCGUACAUUUUACAGAUACGCACGCAUUGACUUUUUCGUAGAUCUUAUUGAGAUACAUGUGAUUGUCAGAUUUUGUGUCAAUAUGACAAAGCGUACAGGUAUGACAGUCAACAAUGUGUUUUUUCACCUUAUGGGACAAGAAAAAAUGGACUUUUUUCUCCUGCCAUGGGGGGGCGCUCUUUUGGGGAGUAAAAAUUCCUUCACAAAUGUGUUGAUGGCUGGACAUUGCAUCAUCCUAGAAAACUUGGAGGCCAGUGAGGACUUAAAUAAAAAGUUAUAAGACCUUGAAAUAUCUGGAUUUUAGGGUUAUCUUUGGCGCCCCCUAGAACCUAAACCGUGGGGUGCAGCGUCAUGAUUUGAAUAACUUUUAAUGGCCAUGGGGUGUAGAUUGGCCUGAGCAAAUGUGGUGCCGGUGGAACGAAAGCCUUAGGAGGAGUUAGCCACAUUCCAAUGUGUGCGGAUCGGCAAAAAAUGCGGAAUAACCCUUUAACCGUACAUUUGACAGAUACGCGCGCAUUGACUUUUUCGUAGAUCUUAUUGAGUUAGAUGUGUGUGUCAAUUUUUGUGUCAUUUUGACAAAGCGUAUAGGCGUGACACUCAACAAUGUGUAUUUUCACCUUAGGGGACAAGAAAAAUGGACUUUUUUCUCCUGCCAUGGGGGGGCGCUCUUUUGGGGAGUAAAAAUUCCUUCACAAAUGUGUUGAUGGCUGGACAUUGCAUCAUCCUAGAAAACUUGGAGGCCAGUGAGGACAAAAAUAAAAAGUUAUAAGACUUUUAAAUAUGUGGAUUUUAGUGUUAUCUUUGGCGCCCCCUAGAACCUAAACCUUGGGGUGCAGCGUCAUGAUUUUGAUAACUUUUAAUGGCCACGGGGUGUAGAUUGGCCUGAGCAAAUGUGGUGCCGGUGGAACGAAAGCCUUUGGAGGAGUUAGCGAAAUUCCAAUGUGUGCGGAUCGGAAAAAAAUGCGAAAUAACCCUUUAACCGUACAUUUGACAGAUACGGCCGCACUGACUUUUUUGUAGAUCUUAUUGAGAUACAUAUGUGUGUCAAUUUUUGUGUCAAUAUGACAAAGCGUACAGGCGUGACAGUCAAUAGUGUGAAUUUCCACCUUAGGGGGCGCUAUGGAGCCAUUUUGCAUUUUAUUGUUUGGGCGACUUCAGAAUAUCGAAUUUUUCACCAGGCCCGGUCGUCCUGCCAAAUUUCAUGAGUUUUCGCCAGUGGGAAGUGGGCCAUUUUCCAGUUCAAAGGGGAGGAAAAAGAAGAAAGAAAGAAAGAAAGAAAGAAAGAAAGAAACAAAGAAAAACCACUUGGGGAAUAAUAGGGCCUACGCCCGGCUGCUCUGCAGCUGGCUCGGGCCCUAAUAAUAACAAACUAGGACCCCGUUGGGGCACUGGCGGGCCCGAGCCGUGUCGCGUCCCCCCCCCCCCCCCCCCAACGUGCUGCCUCCCCGUCCCAUUUGUGUCCUCUGGCCAUCGCUCUCUCUGGUAACGCCCAUCACUGCAAAGACCCUUUUCCUUCAUCUGCGUUUGCUGUUCUUCCUGCCAGUGCGUGUUGCUUUCACUUACACUUGCCACAGCCAGCCUCGUGAGUGCCUAGCCUAUUGGAUAUCACUGUCACCUACACAGGACAGUCAUUACCUUUCUAUUAAUACUUUGUGUUUUAAUUUCACAUUAAUUUCCAUAUUGUAUAAACGACUGGAAAAAACUUGAGCCCCUGCCCCUGUAUAAUCAUGUGCAUGUCUCUGUUCUAGCUCCAAGGUGAAUCUUCACUGCUCAUGUUCUCCUCAGAAGCACUCACCUCACUCCCCUCAGGUUACUGUACACAUGCACCAACUGCCUGCUUCAGGUUUGGAUGGAGCUUCAUGGUUGUCUUUUGGAGAAAUGACCAGUCAAGUUGUGUUUGAAAUUUGAUUUUUUUCAGGGGCAAAAGGAGCCUCUGCAUUCUUGUCAAAUAUGUAAAUAGCAUGUUUUUGCAGGUGCUAAAAACCAGACUCUGAGUGUGUGUGUGUGUGUGUGUGUGUGUGUGCGUGUGUGUGUCUGUGUGUGCGUUCAAGUCACAUGACAUAUUUAACCGGAUGUAGCUGCAAGACGGAGCCUCGUUGACUCUCCGUUUCAACUUAUCUCAAAAGUGAGGACCUCAACCUAUAUACCAGUUUUUAAAUUGUGUUGAUAGGCCAAAUAAAACCAGAGUUAUGAUAAAUUAUGUCCGCGAUACUUUUUUUCUGCUUAUUUUGAUCACGUUCGGCGCUCGAUCGCGCUGUAUGAGACAGGAAAACAUAGCAUGCAGACAUUAGCGACAGCUCUUACAGGCGGAAAAGGCUUGCCAAAAGAAAAAAAAAAACACACCACAACAUCUCUCCUAUUGGUGGAAAACUUCACCACAACAACCAAUCCAAAAUUAUAUGGUGACUGAUUGACAAGGGGGGCGCUUACGUUCUUCCUGCAACAUGAGAAGGGAGGGAGGGACUCUCAGCAGGGAUGCAGUCUGGGACACGUAGUUGCAAACCUAGCGACUUUGUUGUUAGAUUCAAUGACUUUUCAGACCCCCUAACGACUUUUUUUUAGAAAGAAAGGGACUUUUAUCGACUUCUUCUGGAGUUUAGAGACUCUGACAUGAAGCAGGCUUUCCUUACUGAGGAGUUAGCAACGCUGCUAAGGGUGCAGAGCCACACAUGCGCUCAGAGCUCUGCAUGGGAGACUGAAGCUGACAGAGCUGCAGCAGUUAGCAGGUUUCACCCUCAGAGACCACCAGGGGUUCAUGUUGAGGCAUUUUAAAUUUUUUUUUUUUUUUGUGCCAUAGACACUGUCAGCACAAUCUGCAGCUACACUAACAAAAAUGCUGCAAAAAACAAAGAAUUAUGGAAAAAUUACACAUGGACUGACAUAGAGGAGGAUCUACACAAGUUUUUUACAUCAUGUUUUACAUCAUGCAUCAUUUACAUCAUGUUUUUUUGUAGUGGCAUAAAUAAAAAGUGACAUUUGUGAGACUAUACAGUGUUUUGUAAAUAAUUUUACAAAGAACGCCUGGGCCAUUGCCUGCAUUUUGAUGAAAAUAGAGGUAAAUCACUAUGUUCUUUGUUAAAAAUUUGCAUAUGUUUUGAAGUUUACAAUUUUUAUUUGAAGUUUAAGUUUUAAAAACAGUUCAUCACACAUAUUUGUGGUUUUCACAGUAAAAAUGUUACUUUUUUCCACUCGGAUUUUAUGUUUUGUGUGUGAAUUUGGGUCCAUUGUGUAAAUUCAGUAUGUCAACAUGAUAAAAUAACUGUAAAUUCGCACAGGUGAGGUUGUGCUGAAAAAAAUGAUACCAGGCAAGGCACGUGAUUGUCAAAUUUUGUGUCAAUAUGACAAAGCGUAUAGGCGUGAAUCUCAACAAUAUGUAUUUUCACCUUAGAGGACAAGAAAAAAUGGACUUUUUUCUCCUGCCAUGGGGGGGCGCUCUUUUGGGGAGUAAAAAUUCCUUCACAAAUGUGUUGAUGGCUGGACAUUGCAUCAUCCUAGAAAACUUGGAGGCCAGUGAGGACAAAAAUAAAAAGUUAUAAGACUUUUAAAUAUGUGGAUUUUAGGGUUAUCUUUGGCGCCCCCUAGAACCUAAACCGUGGGGUGCAGCGUCAUGAUUUUGAUAACUUUUAAUGGCCAUGGGGUGUAGAUUGGCCUGAGCAAAUGUGGUGCCGGUGGAACGAAAGCCUUAGGAGGAGUUAGCGAAAUUCCAAUGUGUGCGGAUCGGCAAAAAAUGCGGAAUAACCCUUUAACCGUACAUUUGACAGAUACGCGCGCAUUGACUUUUUCGUAGAUCUUAUUGAGUUACAUGUGUGUGUCAAUUUUUGUGUCAUUUUGACAAAGCGUAUAGGCGUGACACUCAACAAUGUGUAUUUUCACCUUAGGGGACAAGAAAAAAUGGACUUUUUUCUCCUGCCAUGGGGGGGCGCUCUUUUGGGGAGUAAAAAUUCCUUCACAAAUGUGUUGAUGGCUGGACAUUGCAUCAUCCUAGAAAACUUGGAGGCCAGUGAGGACAAAAAUAAAAAGUUAUAAGACUUUUAAAUAUGUGGAUUUUAGUGUUAUCUUUGGCGCCCCCUAGAACCUAAACCUUGGGGUGCAGCGUCAUGAUUUUGAUAACUUUUAAUGGCCACGGGGUGUAGAUUGGCCUGAGCAAAUGUGGUGCCGGUGGAACGAAAGCCUUCGGAGGAGUUAGCGAAAUUCCAAUGUGUGCGGAUCGGCAAAAAAUGCGAAAUAACCCUUUAACCGUAAUUUUGACAGAUACGGCCGCACUGACUUUUUUGUAGAUCUUAUUGAGAUACAUAUGUGUGUCAAUUUUUGUGUCAAUAUGACAAAGCGUACAGGCGUGACAGUCAAUAGUGUGAAUUUUCACCUUAGGGGGCGCUAUGGAGCCAUUUUGCAUUUUAUUGUUUGGGCGACUUCAGAAUAUCAAAUUUUUCACCAGGCCCGGUCGUCCUGCCAAAUUUCAUGAGUUUUCGCCAGUGGGAAGUGGGCCAUUUUCCAGUUCAAAGGGGAGGAAAAAGAAAAAAGAAAGAAAGAAACAAAGAAAAACCACUUGGGGAAUAAUAGGGCCUACGCCCGGCUGCUCUGCAGCUGGCUCGGGCCCUAAAGAAGGAAACAUGCAGGAACAAGAGGGCUCUCGCAGCUGCUUAGCAGCUACGCUCGGGCCCUAAUAAGAAGAAGAAGAAGAAAGAAGAAUCCAUCAGGAAUAAUAGGGCUCUCGCAGCUGCUUAGCAGCUACGCUCGGGCCCUAAAGAAAGAAACAAAGAAAAACCACUUGAGGAACAACAGGGCCUACGCCCGGCCCCGUUGGGUCACUGGCGGGCCCGAGCCGUGUCGCAUCCCCCCCCCCCCCCCCCCCAACGUGCUGCCUUCCCGUCCCAUUUGUGUCCUCUGGCCAUCGCCCUCUCUGGUAACGCCCAUCACUGCAAAGACCCUUUUCCUUCAUCGGCGUUUGCUGUUCUUCCUGCCAGUGCGUGUUGCUUUCACUUACACUUGCCACAGCCAGCCUCGUGAGUGCCUAGCCUAUUGGAUAUCACUGUCACCUACACAGGACAGUCAUUACCUUUCUAUUAAUACUUUGUGUUUUAAUUUCACAUUAAUUUCCAUAUUGUAUAAACGACUGGAAAAAACCUGAGCCCCUGCCCCUGUAUAAUCAUGUGCAUGUCUCUGUUCUAGCUCCAAGGUGAAUCUUCACUGCUCAUGUUCUCCUCAGAAGCACUCACCUCACUCCCCUCAGGUUACUGUACACAUGCACCAACUGCCUGCUUCAGGUUUGGAUGGAGCUUCAUGGUUGUCUUUUGGAGAAAUGACCAGUCAAGUUGUGUUUGAAAUUUGAUUUUUUUCAGGGGCAAAAGGAGCCUCUGCAUUCUUGUCAAAUAUGUAAAUAGCAUGUUUUUGCAGGUGCUAAAAACCAGACUCUGAGUGUGUGUGUGUGUCUGUGUGUGCGUUCAAGUCACAUGACAUAUUUAACCGGAUGUAGCUGCAAGACGGAGCCUCGUUGACUCUCCGUUUCAACUUAUCUCAAAAGUGAGGACCUCAACCUAUAUACCAGUUUUUAAAUUGUGUUGAUAGGCCAAAUAAAACCAGAGUUAUGAUAAAUUAUGUCCGCAAUACUUUUUUUCUACUUAUUUUGAUCACGUUCGGCGCUCGAUCGCGCUGUAUGAGACAGGAUAACAUAGCAUGCAGACAUUAGCGACAGGUCUUACAGGCGGAAAAGGCUUGCCAAAAGAAAAAAAAAACACACCACAACAUCUCUCCUAUUGGUGGAAAACUUCACCACAACAACCAAUCCAAAAUUAUAUGGUGACUGAUUGACAAGGGGCGGGCGCUUACGUUCUUCCUGCAACAUGAGAAGGGAGGGAGGGACUCUCAGCAGGGAUGCAGUCUGGGACACGUAGUUGCAAACCUAGCGACUUUGUUGUUAGAUUCAAUGACUUUUCAGACCCCCUAACGACUUUUUUUUAGAAAGAAAGGGACUUUUAUCGACUUCUUCUGGAGUUUAGAGACUCUGACAUGAAGCAGGCUUUCCUUACUGAGGAGUUAGCAACGCUGCUAAGGGUGCAGAGCCACACAUGCGCUCAGAGCUCUGCAUGGGAGACUGAAGCUGACAGAGCUGCAGCAGUUAGCAGGUUUCACCCUCAGAGACCACCAGGGGUUCAUGUUGAGGCAUUUUAAAUUUUUUUUUUUUUUUGUGCCAUAGACACUGUCAGCACAAUCUGCAGCUACACUAACAAAAAUGCUGCAAAAAACAAAGAAUUAUGGAAAAAUUACACAUGGACUGACAUAGAGGAGGAUCUACACAAGUUUUUUACAUCAUGUUUUACAUCAUGCAUCAUUUACAUCAUGUUUUUUUGUAGUGGCAUAAAUAAAAAGUGACAUUUGUGAGACUAUACAGUGUUUUGUAAAUAAUUUUACAAAGAACGCCUGGGCCAUUGCCUACAUUUUGAUGUAAAUAGAGGUAAAUCACUAUGUUCUUUGUUAAAAAUUUGCAUAUGUUUUGAAGUUUACAAUUUUUAUUUGAAGUUUAAGUUUUAAAAACAGUUCAUCACACAUAUUUGUGGUUUUCACAGUAAAAAUGUUACUUUUUUCCACUCGGAUUUUAUGUUUUGUGUGUGAAUUUGGGUCCAUUGUGUAAAUUCAGUAUGUCAACAUGAUAAAAUAACUGUAAAUUCGCACAGGUGAGGUUGUGCUGAAAAAAAUGAUACCAGGCAAGGCACGUGAUUGUCAAAUUUUGUGUCAAUAUGACAAAGCGUAGAGGCGUGAAUCUCAACAAUAUGUAUUUUCACCUUAGGGGACAAGAAAAAAUGGACUUUUUUCUCCUGCCAUGGGGGGGCGCUCUUUUGGGGAGUAAAAAUUCCUUCACAAAUGUGUUGAUGGCUGGACAUUGCAUCAUCCUAGAAAACUUGGAGGCCAGUGAGGACAAAAAUAAAAAGUUAUAAGACUUUUAAAUAUGUGGAUUUUAGGGUUAUCUUUGGCGCCCCCUAGAACCUAAACCGUGGGGUGCAGCGUCAUGAUUUAAAUAACUUUUAAUGGCCAUGGGGUGUAGAUUGGCCUGAGCAAAUGUGGUGCCGGUGGAACGAAAGCCUUAGGAGGAGUUAGCCACAUUCCAAUGUGUGCGGAUCGGCAAAAAAUGCGGAAUAACCCUUUAACCGUACAUUUGACAGAUACGCGCGCGUUGACUUUUUCGUAGAUCUUAUUGAGUUACAUGUGUGUGUCAAUUUUUGUGUCAUUUUGACAAAGCGUAUAGGCGUGACACUCAACAAUGUGUAUUUUCACCUUAGGGGACAAGAAAAAAUGGACUUUUUUCUCCUGCCAUGGGGGGGCGCUCUUUUGGGGAGUAAAAAUUCCUUCACAAAUGUGUUGAUGGCUGGACAUUGCAUCAUCCUAGAAAACUUGGAGGCCAGUGAGGACAAAAAUAAAAAGUUAUAAGACUUUUAAAUAUGUGGAUUUUAGUGUUAUCUUUGGCGCCCCCUAGAACCUAAACCUUGGGGUGCAGCGUCAUGAUUUUGAUAACUUUUAAUGGCCACGGGGUGUAGAUUGGCCUGAGCAAAUGUGGUGCCGGUGGAACGAAAGCCUUCGGAGGAGUUAGCGAAAUUCCAAUGUGUGCGGAUCGGCAAAAAAUGCGAAAUAACCCUUUAACCGUACAUUUGACAGAUACGCCCGCACUGACUUUUUUGUAGAUCUUAUUGAGAUACAUAUGUGUGUCAAUUUUUGUGUCAAUAUGACAAAGCGUACAGGCGUGACAGUCAAUAAUGUGAAUUUCCACCUUAGGGGGCGCUAUGGAGCCAUUUUGCAUUUUCUUGUUUGGGCGACUUCAGAAUAUCGAAUUUUUCACCAGGCCCGGUCGUCCUGCCAAAUUUCAUGAGUUUUCGCCAGUGGGAAGUGGGCCAUUUUCCAGUUCAAAGGGGAGGAAAAAGAAGAAAGAAAGAAAGAAAGAAAGAAACAAAGAAAAACCACUUGAGGAAUAAUAGGGCUCUCGCAGCUGCUUAGCAGCUACGCUCGGGCCCUAAUAAUAAUAAUAACAAAAGAAGAAUCCAUCAGGAACAAGAGGGCUCUCGCAGCUGCUUAGCAGCUACGCUCGGGCCCUAAAGAAGAAUCCAUCAGGAACAAGACGGCUGUAACAGCUGCUUAGCAGCUACGCUCGGGCCCUAACUAGGGCCCCGGUGGGGCACUGUCGGGCCCGAGCCGCGUCGUGCCGCCCCCAGCGUGACCGCCUCCCCCUCCCGAUCGCGUCACACUCAAGGUCCAAAGAUGGUGUGCGCACUUGUCUGUGGUCAUUUCCCAUUAUAAUGAAUGGGAGGCGCAGUUUCUACCAAAACACUCGCUGCAGACAAACUUCAUGUCCUAUUUGAAAAAAGUCUGGACCAUGAGUGAGGGCACAAACACAGCUGGGAUAUAUCCAAAUGGCAGGUUGCUCCUCCUUACGGUGUUGCCUGUAGAGCGAUGCGAUUGAGCCAUUGAGCGAUGGGCAGGAAAAACUUGACUUUUUCUCGUGCCAUGGGGGGGGAGAAUGUGGAUUCUUUUAAGAAUGUGGAUUUUUUGGUCAUCUUUGGCGCCCCCUAGAACGUAAACCGUGGGGUGCAGCAUCAUGAUUUGAAUAACUUUUAAUGGCCAUGGGGUGUAGAUCGGCCUGAGCAAAUUUGGUUUCAGUGGGACGAAAGCCUUAGGAGGAGUUAGCCACAUUCCAAUGUGUGCGAAUCGGCAAAAAAUGCAAAAUAGCCCUCUAACCGUAUAUUUGACAGAUACGCACCCAUUGACUUUUUCGUAGAUCUUAUUGAGAUACACGUGAUUGUCAAAUUUUGUGUCAAUAUGACAAAGCGUACAGGUGUCACACUCAACAAUGUGAAUUUUCACCUUACGGGACAAGAAAAAAUUGACUUUUUUCUCCUGCCAUGGGGGGGGGCGCUCUUUUGGGGAGUAAAAAUUCCUUCACAAAUGUGUUGAUGGCUGGACAUUGCAUCAUCCUAGAAAACUUGGAGGCCAGUGAGGGCAAAAAUAAAAAGUUAUAAGACUUUGAAAUAUGUGGAUUUUAGGGUUAUCUUUGGCGCCCCCUAGAACCUAAACCGUGGGGUGCAGCGUCAUGAUUUGAAUAACUUUUAAUGGCCAUGGGGUGUAGAUUGGCCUGAGCAAAUGUGGUGCCGGUGGAACGAAAGCCUUAGGAGGAGUUAGCGAAAUUCCAAUGUGUGCGGAUCAGAAAAAAUGCGGAAUAACCCUUUAACCGUACAUUUGACAGAUACGCGCGCAUUGACUUUUUCGUAGAUCUUAUUGAGAUACAUGUGUGUGUCAAAUUUUGUGUCAAUAUGACAAAGCGUACAGGCGUGACACUCAACAAUGUGUAUUUUCAAAUUAGGGGACAAGAAAAAAUGGACUUUUUUCUCCUGCCAUGGGGGGGCGCUCUUUUGGGGAGUAAAAAUUCCUUCACAAAUGUGUUGAUGGCUGGACAUUGCAUCAUCCUAGAGAACUUGAAGGCCAGUGAGGACAAAAAUAAAAAGUUAUAAGACUUUUAAAUAUGUGGAUUUUAGGGUUAUAUUUGGCGCCCCCUAGAACCUAAACCGUGGGGUGCAGCAUCAUGAUUUGAAUAACUUUUAAUGGCCAUGGGGUGUAGAUUGGCCUGAGCAAAUGUGGUGCCGGUGGAACGAAAGCCUUCGGAGGAGUUAGCGAAAUUCCAAUGUGUGCGGAUCGGCAAAAAAUGCGAAAUGACCCUUUAACCGUACAUUUGACAGAUACGCGCGUAUGACUUUUUCGUAGAUCUUAUUGAGAUACAUAUGUGUGUCAAUUUUUGUGUCAAUAUGACAAAGCGUACAGGCGUGACAGUCAAUAGUGUGAAUUUUCACCUUAGGGGACAAGAAAAAAUGGACUUUUUUCUCCUGCCAUGGGGGGGCGCUCUUUUGGGGAGUCAAAAUUCCUUCACAAAUGUGUUGAUGGCUGGACAUUGCAUCAUCCUAGUAAACUUGGAGGCCAGUGAGGAAAAAAAUAAAAAGUUAUAAGACUUUUAAAUAUGUGGAUUUUAGGGUUAUCUUUGGCGCCCCCUAGAACCUAAACCGUGGGGUGCAGCGUCAUGAUUUGAAUAACUUUUAAUGGCCAUGGGGUGUAGAUUGACCUGAGCAAAUGUUGUGCCGAUGGAAGGAAAGUCUUCAGAGGAGUUAGCGAAAUUCCGAUGUGUGUGGAUCGGCAAAAAAUGCGAAAUAACCCGUUAACCGUAAAUUUGACAGAUACGCCCGCACUGACUUUUUUGUAGAUCUUAUUGAGAUACAUAUGUGUGUCAAUUUUUGUGUCAAUAUGACAAAGCGUACAGCCGAGACAGUCAAUAGUUUGAAUUUUCAUCUUAGGGGGCGCUAUGGAGCCAUUUUGCAUUUUAUUGUUUGGGCGACUUCAGAAUAUCAAAUUUUUCACCAGGCCCGGUCGUCCUGCCAAAUUUCAUGAGUUUUCGCCAGUGGGAAGUGGGCCAUUUUCCAGUUCAAAGGGGAGGAAAAAGAAGAAACUAGGGCCCCGUUGGGGCACUGGCGGGCCCGAGCCGUGUCACGCCGCCCCCAGCGCGACCGCCUCCCCCACCCGAUCGCGUCACACUCAAGGUCCAAAGAUGGUGUGCGCACUUGUUUGUGGUCAUUUACCAUUAUAAUGAACGGGAGGCGCAGUUUCUACCAAAACGCUCGCUGCAGAAAAACUCCAUGUCCUAUUUGAAAAAAGUCUGGACCAUGAGUGAGGGCACAAACACAGCUAAGAUAUAUCCAAAUGGCAAGUUGCUCCUCCUUUCGCUUUUGCCGAAAGAGCAGUGCGUUUGAGCCAUUGAAUGAUGAACAGGAAAAACUUGACUUUAUUCUCCUGCCAUGGGGGGCGCUCUUUUAAAGAGAAAAAACUCCUUCACAAAUGUGUUGAUGGCUGGACAUUGCAUCAUCCUAGAAAACAUGGAGGCCAGUGAGGACAAAAAUAAAAAGUUAUAAGACUUUUAAAUAUGUGGAUUUUAGGGUUAUAUUUGGCGCCCCCUAGAACCUAAACCGUGGGGUGCAGCGUCAUGAUUUGAAUAACUUUUAAUGGCCAUGGGGUGUAGAUUGGCCUGAGCAAAUGUGGUGCCGGUGGAACGAAAGCCUUCGGAGGAAUUAGCGAAAUUCCAAUGUGUGCGAAUCUGCAAAAAAUGCGAAAUAACCCUUUAACCGUACAUUUUACAGAUACGUGGCCAUUGACUUUUUCGAAGAUCUUAUUGAAAUACACGUGUAUGUAAAAUUUUGUGUCAAUACGACAAAACAUAAAGGCGUAGCACUCAACAAUGUGUAUUUUCACCUUAGUGGACAAGAAAAAAUUGACUUUUUUCUCCUGCCAUGGGGGGCGCUCUUUUGCCGAGUAAAAAUUCCUUCACAAAUGUGUUGAUGGCUGGACAUUGCAUCAUCCUAGAAAACUUGGAGGCCAGUGAGGGCAAAAAUAAAAAGUUAUAAGACUUUUAAAUAUGUGGAUCUUAGGGUUAUCUUUGGCUCCCCCUAGAACCUAAACCGUGGGGUGCAGCGUCAUGAUUUGAAUAACUUUUAAUGGCCAUGGGGUGUAGAUUGGCCUGAGCAAAUGUGGUGCCGGUGGAACGAAAGCCUUCGGAGGAGUUAGCGAAAUUCCAAUGUGUGCGGAUCGGCAAAAAAUGCGGAAUAACCCUUUAACCGUACAUUUGACAGAUACGCGCGCAUUGACUUUUUCGUAGAUCUUAUUGAGAUACAUGUGUGUGUCAAUUUUUGUGUCAUUUUGCCAAAGCGUACAGGUGUUACACUCAACAAUGUGUAUUUUCACCUUAGGGGACAAGAAAAAAUGGACUUUUUUCUCCUGCCAUGGGGGGGCGCUCUUUUGGGGAGUAAAAAUUCCUUCACAAAUGUGUUGAUGGCUGGACAUUGCAUCAUCCUAGAAAACUUGGAGGCCAGUGAGGGCAAAAAUAAAAAGUUAUAAGACUUUUAAAUAUGUGGAUCUUAGGGUUAUCUUUGGCGCCCCCUAGAACCUAAACCGUGGGGUGCAGCGUCAUGAUUUGAAUAACUUUUAAUGGCCAUGGGGUGUAGAUUGGCCUGAGCAAAUGUGGUGCCGGUGGAACGAAAGCCUUCGGAGGAGUUAGCGAAAUUCCAAUGUGUGCGGAUCGGCAAAAAAUGCGAAAUAACCCUUUAACCGUACAUUUGACAGAUACGCCCGCACUGACUUUUUUGUAGAUCUUAUUGAGAUACAUGUGUGUGUCAAUUUUUGUGUCAUUUUGACAAAGCGUACAGGCGUGACAGUGAAUAGUGUGAAUUUUCACCUUAGGGGGCGCUAUGGAGCCAUUUUGCAUUUUCUUGUUUGGGCGACUUCGGAAUAUCAAAUUUUUCACCAGGCCCGGUCGUCCUGCCAAAUUUCAUGAGUUUUCGCCAGUGGGAAGUGGGCCAUUUUCCAGUUCAAAGGGGAGGAAAAAUAAUAAUAAUAAUAACACUAGGACCCCGUUGGGGCACUGGCGGGCCCGAGCUGUGUCGCGUCCCCCCCCCAACGCGCUGCCUCCCCGUCCCAUUUGUGUCCUCUGGCCAUCGCCCUCUUUGGUAACGCCCAUCACUGCAAAGACCCUUUUCCUUCAUCGGCGUUUGCUGUUCUUCCUGCCAGUGCGUGUUGCUUUCACUUACACUUGCCACAGCCAGCCUCGUGAGUGCCUAGCCUAUUGGAUAUCACUGUCACCUACACAGGACAGUCAUUACCUUUCUAUUAAUACUUUGUUUUUUAAUUUCACAUUAAUUUCCAAAUUGUAUAAACGACUGGAAAAAACUUGAGCCCCUGCCCCUGUAUAAUCAUGUGCACGUCUCUGUUCUAGCUCUAAGGUAAAUCUUCACUGCUCAUGUUCUCCUCAGAAGCAGUCACCUCACUCCCCUCAGGUUACUGUACACAUGCACCAACUGCCUGCUUCAGGUUUGGAUGGAGCUUCAUGGUUGUCUUUUGGAGAAAUGACCAGUCAAGUUGUGUUUGAAAUUUGAUUUUUUUCAGGGGCAAAAGGAGCCUCUGCAUUCUUGUCAAAUAUGUAAAUAGCAUGUUUUUGCAGGUGCUACAAACCAGACUCUGAGUGUGUGUGUGUGCGUGUGUGUGUGUGUCUGUGUGUGUGUGUGUGUGUGUGUGUGCGUUCAAGUCACAUGACAUAUUUAACCGGAUGUAGCUGCAAGACGGAGCCUCGUUGACUCUCCGUUUCAAUUUAUCUCAAAAGUGAGGACCUCAACCUAUAUACCAGUUUUUAAAUUGUGUUGAUAGGCCAAAUAAAACCAGAGUUAUGAUAAAUUAUGUCCGCGAUACUUGUUUUCUGCUUAUUUUGAUCACGUUCGGCGCUCGAUCGCGCUGUAUGAGACAGGAAAACAUAGCAUGCAGACAUUAGCGACAGGUCUUACAGGCGGAAAAGGCUUGCCAAAGGAAAAAAAAUACACACCACAACAUCUCUCCUAUUGGUGGAAAACUUCACCACAACAACCAAUCCAAAAUUAUAUGGUGACUGAUUGACAAGGGGCGGGAACUUACGUUCUUCCUGCAAUAUGAGAAGGGAGGGAGGGACUCUCAGCAGGGAUGCAGUCUGGGACACGUAGUUGCAAACCUAGCGACUUUGUUGUUAGAUUCAAUGACUUUUCAGACCCCCUAACGACUUUUUUUUAGAAAGAAAGUGACUUUUAUCGACUUCUUCUGGAGUUUAGAGACUCUGACAUGAAGCAGGCUUUCCUUACUGAGGAGUUAGCAACGCUGCUAAGGGUGCAGAGCCACACAUGCGCUCCGAGCUCUGCAUAGGAGACUGAAGCUGACAGAGCUGCAGCAGUUAGCAGGUUUCACCCUCAGAGACCACCAGGGGUUCAUGUUGAGGCAUUUUCAGUUUUUUUUUUUUUUUUUUGCCAUAGACACUGUCAGCACAAUCUGCAGUUACACUAACAAAAAUGCUGCAAAAAACAAAGAAUUAUGGAAAAAUUACACAUGGACUAACAUAGAGGAGGAUCUACACAAGUUUUUUACAUCAUGUUUUACAUCAUGCAUCAUUUACAUCAUGUUUUUUUGUAGUGGCAUAAAUAAAAAGUGACAUUUGUGAGACUAUACAGUGUUUUGUAAAUAAUUUUACAAAGAAC